rnacentral:rRNA from 1 species
CUCUUAGACGCUCUAGGCGGCACGCGCGCUACAAUGGGUGGUAGAACGUGUAACUGCUCCCGAAAGGGAGGGUGAACCACGAAUACUUACCCGUGAAUGGGAUAGUUUGUUGCAAUUUUCGGACUUGAACUAGGAAUCCCUUGUAAGAAUGCUCAAGAAUAGCGUGCUGAAUACGUCCCUGCCGUUUGUACACACCGCCCGUCGUUUCUUCCGACUGAUACUCAUUGUGAGUUGCAAGGAUUCUUAUUGAAAAAUUGCUGCGAAUGCUUUGUAUUGGAGGAAGAAAAAGUCGUAACA